CAUGUGUAGCGGUGAAAUGCGUAGAUAUAUGGAGGAACACCAGUGGCGAAAGCGGCUCUNUGGUCUGUCACUGACGCUGAGGCUCGAAAGCGUGGGUAGCGAACAGGAUUAGAUACCCUGGUAGUNCACGCCGUAAACGAUGAGUGCUAGGUGUUAGGCCCUUUCCGGGGCUUAGUGCCGGAGCUAACGCAAUAAGCACUCCGCCUGGGGAGUACGACCGCAAGGUUGAAACUCAAAGGAAUUGACGGGGGCCCGCACAAGCGGUGGAGCAUGUGGUUUAAUUUGAAGCAACGCGAAGAACCUUACCAGGUCUUGACAUCCCGAUGCUAUUCUUAGAGAUAGGAAGUUACUUCGGUACAUCGGAGACAGGUGGUGCAUGGUUGUCGUCAGCUCGUGUCGUGAGAUGUUGGGUUANNNNNNNNNNACGAGCGCAACCCUUAUCGUUAGUUGCCAUCAUUAAGUUGGGCACUCUAGCGAGACUGCCGGUAAUAAACCGGAGGAAGGUGGGGAUGACGUCAAAUCAUCAUGCCCCUUAUGACCUGGGCUACACACGUGCUACAAUGGUCGGUACAACGAGUUGCGAGCCGGUGACGGCAAGCUAAUCUCUGAAAGCCGAUCUCAGUUCGGAUUGGAGGCUGCAACUCGCCUCCAUGAAGUCGGAAUCGCUAGUAAUCGCGGAUCAGCACGCCGCGGUGAAUACGUUCCCGGGCCUU
rnacentral:rRNA from 1 species